GCCAAUUCGUUUCUCUAUACAUGUUCUUCCCAUUUCCCAUUUCCAUUCAACUGUCUACCACAGUUUCCGCGGCAGACGGCGAUUCGAGCUUCCUAGAGCAGAUGAUGGCCGAUUAGUUAUGGGAGGAGAAGAUUUGGAGAGGAAAGUUAUGGAGGAGCUCAUCGGUUGGGUUGUCUUCGGCUCCAAAAUCAUAUACGAGGACGGCACAAAUAUGGUCCAUGGUCGGCUGUUUCGGAACUGUGCCAAAUCCUGAGGGGUACAAGGUACUGCUAAUGAAUUAGAAAGUGUAUGGUGUAUUUCCUGUUGAUGUCAACAGAAUUUCCAAUCGAUGGUCAGUUAUUGGCGCGUUGUUUCCAGGCGUAUUCUCUAUUUACCGUUUGACCAAUGUUUGAAGACAUAGCUAGGCUUGGAAGGGAAGCCUUGGGAACUCGGAACAAGCUGCGAUACAAAUUCGUUAUCUAUUUCAGUAUUUUGGCAGAUUGAUUUUGU